rnacentral:rRNA from 1 species
UACGUAGGGUGCAAGCGUUGUCCGGAAUCACUGGGCGUAAAGGGCGCGUAGGCGGCCUGAUAAGUAGGGGGUGAAAUCCUGCGGCUUAACCGCAGGGCUGCCUUCUAAACUGUCGGGGCUAGAGCACGGUAGAGGCAGAUGGAAUUCCCGGUGUAGCGGUGGAAUGCGUAGAGAUCGGGAAGAACUCAGUGGCGAAGGCGGUCUGCUGGGCCGUUGCUGACGCUGAGGCGCGACAGCGUGGGGAGCA